rnacentral:rRNA from 1 species
AGAGUUUGAUCAUGGCUCAGAAUGAACGCUGGCGGCGCGCCUAAUACAUGCAAGUCGAGCGAGAAGACGUAGCAAUACGUUUGUAAAGCGGCGAACGGGUGAGGAAUACAUGGGUAACCUACCCUCGAGUGGGGAAUAACUAGCCGAAAGGUUAGCUAAUACCGCGUACGCUCCUUGAACUUCGGUUCAGGGAGGAAAGCGCUACCGUGGGUAGCGCGCUCUUGGAUGGGCUCAUGUCCUAUCAGCUUGUUGGUGAGGUAACGGCUCACCAAGGCUUCGACGGGUAGCUGGUCUGAGAGGACGACCAGCCACACUGGCACUGCGACACGGGCCAGACUCCUACGGGAGGCAGCAGUAAGGAAUAUUGCGCAAUGGGCGAAAGCCUGACGCAGCGACGCCGCGUGGGGGAUGAAGGUCUUCGGAUUGUAAACCCCUUUCGGGAGGGAAGAUGGAAUGGGGUAACCCAUUCGGACGGUACCUCCAGAAGCAG